GCCCAUGUAACUCAGUUGGUAGAGUAGCGGCCUUUUAAGCCGUCUGUCGAGGGUUCGAGUCCCUCCAUGAGCA
rnacentral:tRNA from 2 species